GCCUGGGUGGCUCAGUCGGUUGGGCGUCUGACUUUGGCUCAGGUCACGAUCUCGCGGUCCGUGAGUUCGAGCCCCGCGUCAGGCU
rnacentral:tRNA from 1 species